UCCAACUGCCAAAGCCACCAGAGCCC
rnacentral:piRNA from 1 species